AUGUGGCCUUGAACUAACAGAUCUGUCUACCUCUUGAUUCUGAGUCCUGGGAUUAAAGAUGUGUACCACCACUGCCUGGCCUCUCUAGCUAUCUAGUGUGGCUGGCUUUGCAUCCUGAACCCUCAGGUACUUAGGGUGCUGGGGGAUGGAACUCCAGAUUUCUGCUUGGAGAUCAAAUAUAUCCUGG
rnacentral:lncRNA from 1 species